UACGUAGGGUGCAAGCGUUGUCCGGAAUUAUUGGGCGUAAAGGGCUCGUAGGCGGUCUGUCGCGUCUGCUGUGAAAACUCGGGGCUUAACCCCGGGCCUGCAGUGGGUACGGGCAGACUAGAGUGCGGUAGGGGAGAUUGGAAUUCCUGGUGUAGCGGUGGAAUGCGCAGAUAUCAGGAGGAACACCAAUGGCGAAGGCAGAUCUCUGGGCCGUAACUGACGCUGAGGAGCGAAAGCAUGGGGAGCGAACAGG
rnacentral:rRNA from 1 species